GCCUAAAGCGUCCGUAGCCUGUUUUGUCAGUUUUCGGUUAAAUCCAUACGCUCAACGUAUGGGCUGCCGGAAAUACUGCAAAACUAGGGAGUGGGAGAGGUAGACGGUACUCGGGAGGAAGGGGUAAAAUCCUUUGAUCUCUCGAUGACCGCCUGUGGCGAAGGCGGUCUACCAGAACACGUCCGACGGUGAGGGAUGAAAGCUGGGGGAGCAAACCGGAUUAGAUACCCGGGUAGUCCCAGCUGUAAACUAUGCAAACUCAGUGAUGCAUUGGCUUGAUGCCAAUGCAGUGUUGCAGGGAAGCCGUUAAGUUUGCCGCCUGGGAAGUACGUACGCAAGUAUGAAACUUAAAGGAAUUGGCGGGGGAGCACCACAAGGGGUGAAGCCUGCGGUUCAAUUGGAGUCAACGCCAGAAAUCUUACCCGGAGAGACAGCAGAAUGAAGGUCAAGCUGAAGACUUUACCAGACAAGCUGAGAGGUGGUGCAUGGCCGUCGCCAGCUCGUGCCGUGAGAUGUCCUGUUAAGUCAGGUAACGAGCGAGAUCCCUGCCUCUAGUUGCCACCAUUACUCUCAGGAGUAGUGGGGCGAAUUAGCGGGACCGCCGCAGUUAAUGCGGAGGAAGGAAGGGGCCACGGCAGGUCAGUAUGCCCCGAA
rnacentral:rRNA from 1 species